rnacentral:rRNA from 1 species
AAAUUGAAGAGUUUGAUCAUGGCUCAGAUUGAACGCUGGCGGCAGGCCUAACACAUGCAAGUCGAACGGUAACAGGAAGCAGCUUGCUGCUUUGCUGACGAGUGGCGGACGGGUGAGUAAUGUCUGGGAAACUGCCUGAUGGAGGGGGAUAACUACUGGAAACGGUGGCUAAUACCGCAUAACGUCGCAAGACCAAAGAGGGGGACCUUCGGGCCUCUUGCCAUCAGAUGUGCCCAGAUGGGAUUAGCUUGUUGGUGAGGUAACGGCUCACCAAGGCGACGAUCCCUAGCUGGUCUGAGAGGAUGACCAGCCACACUGGAACUGAGACACGGUCCAGACUCCUACGGGAGGCAGCAGUGGGGAAUAUUGCACAAUGGGCGCAAGCCUGAUGCAGCCAUGCCGCGUGUAUGAAGAAGGCCUUCGGGUUGUAAAGUACUUUCAGCGGGGAGGAAGGUGUUGUGGUUAAUAACCGCAGCAAUUGACGUUACCCGCAGAAGAAGCACCGGCUAACUCCGUGCCAGCAGCCGCGGUAAUACGGAGGGUGCAAGCGUUAAUCGGAAUUACUGGGCGUAAAGCGCACGCAGGCGGUCUGUCAAGUCGGAUGUGAAAUCCCCGGGCUCAACCUGGGAACUGCAUUCGAAACUGGCAGGCUUGAGUCUUGUAGAGGGGGGUAGAAUUCCAGGUGUAGCGGUGAAAUGCGUAGAGAUCUGGAGGAAUACCGGUGGCGAAGGCGGCCCCCUGGACAAAGACUGACGCUCAGGUGCGAAAGCGUGGGGAGCAAACAGGAUUAGAUACCCUGGUAGUCCACGCCGUAAACGAUGUCUACUUGGAGGUUGUGCCCUUGAGGCGUGGCUUCCGGAGCUAACGCGUUAAGUAGACCGCCUGGGGAGUACGGCCGCAAGGUUAAAACUCAAAUGAAUUGACGGGGGCCCGCACAAGCGGUGGAGCAUGUGGUUUAAUUCGAUGCAACGCGAAGAACCUUACCUGGUCUUGACAUCCACGGAACUUUCCAGAGAUGGAUUGGUGCCUUCGGGAACCGUGAGACAGGUGCUGCAUGGCUGUCGUCAGCUCGUGUUGUGAAAUGUUGGGUUAAGUCCCGCAACGAGCGCAACCCUUAUCCUUUGUUGCCAGCGGUCCGGCCGGGAACUCAAAGGAGACUGCCAGUGAUAAACUGGAGGAAGGUGGGGAUGACGUCAAGUCAUCAUGGCCCUUACGACCAGGGCUACACACGUGCUACAAUGGCGCAUACAAAGAGAAGCGACCUCGCGAGAGCAAGCGGACCUCAUAAAGUGCGUCGUAGUCCGGAUUGGAGUCUGCAACUCGACUCCAUGAAGUCGGAAUCGCUAGUAAUCGUGGAUCAGAAUGCCACGGUGAAUACGUUCCCGGGCCUUGUACACACCGCCCGUCACACCAUGGGAGUGGGUUGCAAAAGAAGUAGGUAGCUUAACCUUCGGGAGGGCGCUUACCACUUUGUGAUUCAUGACUGGGGUGAAGUCGUAACAAGGUAACCGUAGGGGAACCUGCGGUUGGAUCACCUCCUUACCUGAAA